GGGUGACUGCGUACCUUUUGUAUAAUGGGUCAGCGACUUAUAUUCUGUAGCAAGGUUAACCGUAUAGGGGAGCCGCAGGGAAACCGAGUCUUAACUGGGCGUUAAGUUGCAGGGUAUAGACCCGAAACCCGGUGAUCUAGCCAUGGGCAGGUUGAAGGUUGGGUAACACUAACUGGAGGACCGAACCGACUAAUGUUGAAAAAUUAGCGGAUGACUUGUGGCUGGGGGUGAAAGGCCAAUCAAACCGGGAGAUAGCUGGUUCUCCCCGAAAGCUAUUUAGGUAGCGCCUCGUGAACUCAUCUUCGGGGGUAGAGCACUGUUUCGGCUAGGGGGUCAUCCCGACUUACCAACCCGAUGCAAACUACGAAUACCGAAGAAUGUUAUCACGGGAGACACACGGCGGGUGCUAACGUCCGUCGUGAAGAGGGAAACAACCCAGACCGCCAGCUAAGGUCCCAAAGUCAUGGUUAAGUGGGAAACGAUGUGGGAAGGCCCAGACAGCCAGGAUGUUGGCUUAGAAGCAGCCAUCAUUUAAAGAAAGCGUAAUAGCUCACUGGUCGAGUCGGCCUGCGCGGAAGAUGUAACGGGGCUAAACCAUGCACCGAAGCUGCGGCAGCGACACUAUGUGUUGUUGGGUAGGGGAGCGUUCUGUAAGCCGUUGAAGGUGGCCUGUGAGGGUUGCUGGAGGUAUCAGAAGUGCGAAUGCUGACAUAAGUAACGAUAAUGCGGGUGAAAAACCCGCACGCCGGAAGACCAAGGGUUCCUGUCCAACGUUAAUCGGGGCAGGGUGAGUCGACCCCUAAGGCGAGGCCGAAAGGCGUAGUCGAUGGGAAACAGGUUAAUAUUCCUGUACUCGGUGUUACUGCGAAGGGGGGACGGAGAAGGCUAUGUUGGCCGGGCGACGGUUGUCCCGGUUUAAGCAUGUAGGCGGAUGUUCCAGGUAAAUCCGGAACGUUAUUAACGCUGAGGUGUGAUGACGAGGCACUACGGUGCUGAAGUGACAAAUGCCCUGCUUCCAGGAAAAGCCUCUAAGCAUCAGGUAACAUCAAAUCGUACCCCAAACCGACACAGGUGGUCAGGUAGAGAAUACCAAGGCGCUUGAGAGAACUCGGGUGAAGGAACUAGGCAAAAUGGUGCCGUAACUUCGGGAGAAGGCACGCUGAUGGUAGGUGAAGUGACUUGCUCAUGGAGCUGAAAUCAGUCGAAGAUACCAGCUGGCUGCAACUGUUUAUUAAAAACACAGCACUGUGCAAACACGAAAGUGGACGUAUACGGUGUGACGCCUGCCCGGUGCCGGAAGGUUAAUUGAUGGGGUUAUCCGUAAGGAGAAGCUCUUGAUCGAAGCCCCGGUAAACGGCGGCCGUAACUAUAACGGUCCUAAGGUAGCGAAAUUCCUUGUCGGGUAAGUUCCGACCUGCACGAAUGGCGUAAUGAUGGCCAGGCUGUCUCCACCCGAGACUCAGUGAAAUUGAACUCGCUGUGAAGAUGCAGUGUACCCGCGGCAAGACGGAAAGACCCCGUGAACCUUUACUAUAGCUUGACACUGAACACUGGUCCUUGAUGUGUAGGAUAGGUGGGAGGCUUUGAAGUGUGGACGCCAGUCUGCAUGGAGCCAUCCUUGAAAUACCACCCUUUAAUGGCUGGUGUUCUAACGUGGGCCCCUGAUCGGGGUUGCGGACAGUGUCUGGUGGGUAGUUUGACUGGGGCGGUCUCCUCCUAAAGAGUAACGGAGGAGCACGAAGGUCAGCUAAUCCUGGUCGGACAUCAGGAGGUUAGUGCAAUGGCAUAAGCUGGCUUGACUGCGAGCGUGACGGCGCGAGCAGGUGCGAAAGCAGGUCAUAGUGAUCCGGUGGUUCUGAAUGGAAGGGCCAUCGCUCAACGGAUAAAAGGUACUCCGGGGAUAACAGGCUGAUACCGCCCAAGAGUUCAUAUCGACGGCGGUGUUUGGCACCUCGAUGUCGGCUCAUCACAUCCUGGGGCUGAAGUAGGUCCCAAGGGUAUGGCUGUUCGCCAUUUAAAGUGGUACGCGAGCUGGGUUUAGAACGUCGUGAGACAGUUCGGUCCCUAUCUGCCGUGGGCGCUGGAGAAUUGAGGGGGGCUGCUCCUAGUACGAGAGGACCGGAGUGGACGCAUCACUGGUGUUCGGGUUGUCAUGCCAAUGGCAUUGCCCGGUAGCUAAAUGCGGAAGAGAUAAGUGCUGAAAGCAUCUAAGCACGAAACUUGCCCCGAGAUGAGUUCUCCCUGAC
rnacentral:rRNA from 1 species